UGUUCAAAUAUUUUUUCGGAU
rnacentral:piRNA from 1 species